rnacentral:rRNA from 1 species
UACAGAGGUCUCAAGCGUUGUUCGGAUUUACUGGGCGUAAAGGGCGCGUAGGCGGCGCGACAAGUCACUUGUGAAAUCUCUGGGCUUAACUCAGAACGGCCAAGUGAAACUGUUGUGCUAGAGUGCAGAAGGGGCAAUCGGAAUUCUCGGUGUAGCGGUGAAAUGCGUAGAUAUCGAGAGGAACACCAGAGGUGAAGACGGGUUGCUGGGCUGACACUGACGCUGAGGCGCGAAAGCCAGGGGAGCAAACGGG